rnacentral:pre_miRNA from 1 species
UCCUAUGGAUGAGCAAAAACAGUGGUUUCCUGAGAUGGAAUCUCCUCCUGGUGAAGAUGCUCUGAA